rnacentral:rRNA from 1 species
CCGUGAUAACGUGGCAUAAUCAUUCGCCACCUAAUUAGUGGAUAGUAUGAAUGGUAAAACGAGUAUAACACUCUCUCAGAAGGAAGUUUUAUGAAAUUGGAAUGGUAGUCAAGAUACUACCUAAAACUGUAAGACGAAAAGACCCUAUAGAGCUUAACUACACCUUUCUCACAAAGUUAAGUUCACUUAAGUUCAAGAAAGAUUGGUAGUUUAGUUGGGGCGACUGCUUUCUAGUAAAAACGAAAGCAAGCAAUAUUAAUUAUCUAAUUUACUGUCUAAUCUAUGUGUUUAACAGUUAUAAAAAUAGGCAAUAGUGACCCGUUAGUAACAAAAAACACCACUAACGAACAAUAAAUAAAAGCUACCUUAGGGAUAACAGGAUAAUCUUGUUCUAGAGACCCUAUCGAAAACAAGGUUUGUCACCUCUAUGUUGAAUUAAGAUAUCCUAGAAGUGUAGAAGCUUCUGAGG